UGCAAGUCGAGGGGUAACGGGGAAGCUUGCUUCCGCCGACGACCGGCGCACGGGUGCGUAACGCGUAUACAAUCUACCUUAUACUGGGGUAUAGCCUUUAGAAAUGAAGAUUAAUCCCCCAUAGUCUCUUAAAGUGGCAUCACUUAAGGAGUAAAGGUUACGGUAUAAGAUGAGUAUGCGUUCUAUUAGUUUGUUGGUGUGGUAACGGCACACCAAGACUACGAUAGAUAGGGGCCCUGAGAGGGGGAUCCCCCACACUGGUACUGAGACACGGACCAGACUCCUACGGGAGGCAGCAGUGAGGAAUAUUGGACAAUGGAGGCAACUCUGAUCCAGCCAUGCCGCGUGCAGGAUGACUGCCCUAUGGGUUGUAAACUGCUUUUAUACAGGAAGAAACUUACACACGUGUGUGUAACUGACGGUACUGUAAGAAUAAGGAUCGGCUAACUCCGUGCCAGCAGCCGCGGUAAUACGGAGGAUCCAAGCGUUAUCCGGAAUCAUUGGGUUUAAAGGGUCCGUAGGUUGAUAAUUAAGUCAGAGGUGAAAUCUUGCAGCUCAACUGUAAAAUUGCCUUUGAUACUGGUUAUCUUGAGUUAUUAUGAAGUAGUUAGAAUAUGUAGUGUAGCGGUGAAAUGCAUAGAUAUUACAUAGAAUACCAAUUGCGAAGGCAGAUUACUAAUAAUCAACUGACACUGAUGGACGAAAGCGUGGGUAGCGAACAGGAUUAGAUACCCUGGUAGUCCACGCCGUAAACGAUGGUUACUAGCUGUUUGGACCUUGUGUCUGAGUGGCUAAGCGAAAGUGAUAAGUAACCCACCUGGGGAGUACGUUCGCAAGAAUGAAACUCAAAGGAAUUGACGGGGGCCCGCACAA
rnacentral:rRNA from 1 species